rnacentral:rRNA from 1 species
GAGUUUGAUCGUGGCUCAGGAUGAACGCUGGCGGCGUGCUUAACACAUGCAAGUCGAACGAAGCACCUUGGACAGAUUCUUCGGAUGAAGUCUUUGGCGACUGAGUGGCGGACGGGUGAGUAACGCGUGGGUAACCUGCCUCAUACAGGGGGAUAACAGUUAGAAAUGGCUGCUAAUACCGCAUAAGCGCACGGUACUGCAUGGUACAGUGUGAAAAACUCCGGUGGUAUGAGAUGGACCCCGCGUU